AAAUAUCAUUAAUAUUAUCUCUGUGCUGAAGUAAAGCAUAUAAGAAUACAAAAUGCAAACUCAUCAACAGUAUUUGAUGAGAAUAUUAUAAGUUCAAAAAAAUUAGAAAAAACUUUAAAUAUCACCCUUGUGGUUUCGCACUUUUUCAUUUUAAUACACUGUGGUUUAAAGUGUAUCAAUUUAGUACCCUAUGGUUUCGUACUUUCUCACUUAAGUAUCCUAUGGUUUAAAGUGCAUCAAUUUAGUACCUUGGUUUCAUUUUUCUCUUUUCGUCGGCUCCUCUAUUAAUAUUUCGUUAAAUUAUAUACAAAAAACUGCAGAUGCCCUACCUAGUUUUAUCGAAUAUUUAUUUUAGUACCCUUUAGUUUUAACUUUGUCAUUGAUUUUUUUUUUCUUCCAUUAAUUUUUCGUUAAAUUAUAUACAAAAAAUUUCAGAUACCCUAUCUAGGUUUAUAGAAUAUUCACUUCGGUAUCCUUUAAUUUUAACUUUGUCACUGAAAAAAAUUAAUAAAAUAGAUAAUAAAAAGAGAAAAAUGAAACCACAUGGUUCUAACUUGAUACACUUUAAACUAUAGAGUUCUAAAAUGAAAAAAUGUGAAAUCAUAGGAACUAACUUGAUACACUUUAAAUUACAGAAUGCUAAAAUAAGAAAAUAUGAAACUACCUGAGGGCAUUUAAAGUUUAU
rnacentral:lncRNA from 1 species